CAAGAAAAACUAAGAAUGAACCACAAACUACAAAUAAGAAAGGAACAAGUAAACGAAAUAUACAAAAUAAGGGCCAUUUUGGUGAUUAUUCACAAGUAUCUCUGAGAUGCUGGGGCAAAACUCUUAAACUAAAAGGACAAGCAAAACAAAGAUACAGCAAAACACCAAAACGCGUUUGAUGCUUUAAACACCAGUUACCUCGAGAGAGCACAAGCGCAGCCGAACUGCGCAUACUUGAGGAAAAUCACAGAGGGUCAGUAGGUCCUCGGCGGAACACACAUGCCUCACUCUGGAAAAAAGUACGUUCCCGACCAUGAUCUCUCUCGCCAGAUUAGCGUGACUUGCUUUCACGCCGCCCCAAUGCAGCCUCACACUGUACACACACGGUCACUUGCCUCCCCGCACCCCAGAACCCUCUGCACCCACUCCUGUCUCAACCACCCUAACCCGACACACACGUCUUCUUCAGGCAAUCCAAGCAACAGCCCUGGAAUUUCCACAGCCCGUGGAAUUCUACCGCCGAGAACCGCGCCCACCGCUGCCUCAUUUCAUAAGGCCUCCCCGGUUCAGGCCGCAAACGGCCUCCUCUCACUCACCCCCGCCCCGCCACCCGCCCCACACACCCGGUCUCCCUGCCCCCAGCUCCCCUCCCACCUCGGAUUUCAGGUCUGAUGCUUCUCCUCCUCUUCCCGCCUCCCCCCUCCGCUUCCUUCCUCUCCUUGCCGGAGGUCUCCUCCGUCUUCUCCCCUCCACACUGAUUUGCUUACCGCUCGUCUUCCCUCUCCCUCCGCCCGUCGGGGCGCCCACGCGGCGGUCAACACCGGGCCGGCUGCGCCCGCCUGAGAGUGACACGCAGGAGGACGUCCCCCAGCCGGAGAAGCGCCCACACAUCUCUGUUUCUCUCUCUGCUCAGAGCCUGGUUUCAAGGAGACACAGUGCGAUGGCUCCACCUGAGGGGCUCAGCCCCCAAGCCAGUCACCCCACCCCCCGGGCCUGGACACCCGCGCUGGGGGACCGAAAAUCAGGAAGCUCUGCGCGCUCGAACCCACACCUGCCCGCUGGAUCCCGCCGGCUGAGAACAGCCGCGUGCCUGCUUCUGCACAGAUUCAGGCUUGUUUCUGGGAAGAAACCCUGACAGAAAUUCGGAAGAACGGGAGCUGCAUUCAUUUAGGACGUGGAUACAUGAAAUGUUCGUCUCAGGACCUUCUAGAAGAAUGAGCUGGGACCCAUGUUCCAAGUCCUGCUGGACCCAGAGACCGAGGUAAGGGCACAAACUGUCCCCCACAUCAUACAUGCUUUUAAAAAAAUUUCAUGGUUAGUUUUCCAACCUAGUGAAGUGAUUGAAAACUACAGAAAACCUGGUAGGUACCUGUCAUUAACCUUAUGCUAUCUUUUAAUUUAAAUUCCAGUGAGUAAAGAUACAGUGUAAUAUUAGUUUCAGGUGUCCAAUAUAGAGCAACACUUCACAUGUCACCCGGUGCUCAUCCCAGAUGCACUUCUUAAUCCCCAUCAGCUGUUUCACCCAUUUCCCCCACCUCACUGUGGAAGCCCUCAGUUUGUUUCCUAGUUAAGAGUCUGUUUGUUUGUCACUGACUCCUCCCCCCCCCCCCCCCGUGUUUUGUUUUAUUGCCAAUGUGUAGUGAAAUCUUCAUUUUUUUUUGUUGGG
rnacentral:lncRNA from 1 species